GGAGAAACAAUAACCUUUAGGAAAUAAAUUGUCUUCAGUACAUUUAAAAAAUCCUUUUAAGAGUUCGAGUAGGAGCUACUACAGCGAGGAUAAACCCGCAAUAAAAAAUUUCAAGCAGAAAACGCGAACCCGACCUCAACCGAAUGCCUACCAUGAAGAGGUGAUGUUUGGACAGAUCUUCGGCCUUUAAUGGCUGCUUUUUAUUGUGGAGGAAGACAGCAUUUUGAGCUUUGUUUUCAGUGAUUUUCAGCUACAAAAGGGAUAUUGUCUUAUUGGUUUUCAAGGCUGGAUUUUCGGUGGGUUAAGCUGCGGUUUGGGACCGAUUUUUGUUGCUUUUGGGGGCUGGUUUAAGGUUAUUUUCAGCUGGUUUUUUUUAAUGUGUGUCAAGUGUACUUGCCUCGUUGGUGUCGAAGAAAUGAAGAAGUAGAAAAUGGCGAUGGCUCUCAAGAUAGGAAAAACGGCUGCUAUAUCUCUUUGGUUGUGACCUUUUUUAGAAAUAAAGAUGAAGAAGAAGACCCAAACAGGGGUGGUGUGUC
rnacentral:lncRNA from 1 species